GACGAACGCUGGCGGCGUGCUUAACACAUGCAAGUCGAACGGAAAGGCCCUGCUUUUGUGGGGUGCUCGAGUGGCGAACGGGCGAGUAACGCGUGAGUAACCUGCCCUUGACUUUGGGAUAACUUCAGGAAACUGGGGCUAAUACCGGAUAGGAGCUCCUGCUGCAUGGUGGGGGUUGGAAAGUUUCGGCGGUUGGGGAUGGACUCGCGGCUUAUCAGCUUGUUGGUGGGGUAGUGGCUUACCAAGGCUUUGACGGGUAGCCGGCCUGAGAGGGUGACCGGCCACAUUGGGACUGAGAUACGGCCCAGACUCCUACGGGAGGCAGCAGUGGGGAAUAUUGCACAAUGGGCGGAAGCCUGAUGCAGCAACGCCGCGUGCGGGAUGACGGCCUUCGGGUUGUAAACCGCUUUCGCCUGUGACGAAGCGUGAGUGACGGUAAUGGGUAAAGAAGCACCGGCUAACUACGUG
rnacentral:rRNA from 1 species